GAUAACAGAGGAAUUCAAGUCUUGUCCAGUGGAAAACAAAGCAGGAGAUAAGUCUGUGAAAUGAAAGAAUGGACUUGUAUCAGUCAACAGGAGAGAUGAACUCAAUCUUGCAGAAUUGGAAGUCAUGAUUUCGCCAACACGAUCAUGAGCUGGAUAGACAAUGACUGACCUACUAUGGACUACAAUGAUGAUUUUUAGCACAAGAUUCAAAACCUGAGAAUACAGAACGUCUUAGUUUUCCUGCCAACCUGAAAUCAGAAAAUGAUGGCAUUUGAAAAAAAACAACAAACAAACAAACAAACAAAACUAAUGUUAGGAAUCUGAAUUGUUAUUUUUCAGGUUUGAAUUAUGUUAUUGAAGUUUAUCCAAACAUAGAUUUAAACCUCCAAACCUUUUGCUGCUGUUUUCCUAUCUUUAAUAUGGAUGUGUCUUAUCUUACAAAAAAGUCAAAAGAGACAGAAUUUUUCUGAGCUGCUAAUAAACCACUCAUGUUGAAACUCAAUAGGAAAACAAAGAAAGUAUAAAUACUGAAAUUAAUUUAAAUAAGAUAACAUCAUAAGUGAAUCAAUAUUAAAGAAAAUUUUAAAAGUGAGAACAGCAGGAGAUAUUUCCUUAUGAAUUUGAAGAUAUAAGAUGAUAAUAUUUCUGCCAUUUAUAUAUUACUGAGCAUCAUUAUUUUCAAAUCUGGUCUUGCAGAAAGGUGAAACCAUGUAAGCUUUUACAUGAAAGUUACUCCCAAUCAUGAAUAAUUUUCAAUUGCAAGAACAAGUGAAUCGUGUUAAGAUUUAUCAUAGAUACAAAGGUGUGGUUCAGCACCUGUUCAUUUUUUUGCAAGUAAAACAUUCAAUUCAUUUGGCUUAUUUGAACUAAUGAGUGUAGUUAUAAUGGCAUUGUACCUAUAAUAUUACUUUGUUUUACUUUAGGGUGACAAUCUUUCAUAUUUGAUUAUUGCAAUGUAAUUAAUAAAUAGCUUUAUGAAACUGUAAGUCACGUCAAAAUAUGCGCAUCACAAAAAAUAUAUAUGUGCUGUGCUGAUAUCAGAGAUCUGCAGAUGUGGCAUCUUUAAUUCCCAGGGAAAGGAGGCAUCAAAUCUUACAUCACUAAGAAAAAAUGCCUGGGCCCUGCUCCCACUGAAGAUUAUGGCAACAUUUCUACUGACUUCAAAGGAUGCACUAAUUAACUUCAGUGAGAACAGAAUGGCAGGAUCCUCUAAGGGAGCAGAGUUCAGCUCAUCUGGAUGAAGAUUAUGCACACAGGUAGUUGACCUCCACAAAGUGAAGGAGGAUGAUUACCCAAUGACUUAUAGGGCUAAAGCAUUCAUCAAAAUGUUUUAACUUAAAAUUAGUCGUAUUCUUAGAUUGUCUUCCUUUUAUGUCAUUUAAAAAAAAAAGGGGGGGGGGAAAGAAAUGGAAACACUGCAUGUCACAAAAUUAGAUUCACAGGCACAUCAUGGAGGGCAAGCAAAAGUUCAUAUAAAAAAAUAAGAAGUUGUACCAGUUUAAGAGGAGUUCUGGGAAGAUUAUUUCAGAAAGAAACAAUCCACCUCCCCUCUGCCCUUUAUAGCUCCUUACAUUCAUGGAUGUAAUUGGAAACACAUAAACAGACAUGCACGCUCUGCUCCCCCUUUGUAUGCUUUGGCACAAAGACCCACUAGACAGGAAUAAUCCCUGAACACUCUGAAUUUAGACAUUGCUCUCAUAUUGGGCUUUUGAAUGUCAGUGUAGGUAUAGCCCUUCCAGGUGCCUGUGUGCAGGGACCAGAUGGAAUUAGGCCUUCAUUUCUAACCAUUCUUGCAAUAUGGUACAAAGGUAUCUUUAUAAGGAAACGAGCUGCUAUGCCAGUCACAAACGGAGUCAUAAAAAAUUUUCUCUUUAUAACUUCAGUACAACAUGUACAAUGUCAUCUUUCACUUAUCCCAUGAACCUCAAUGAAGUGUUAACUUCAAAGUUUAAAGGCUUGGCUAUAUUUUUUUUUCCAGAAUUCCCACUGUUACUAAUGCUGAGCCAAUGUUUGCAACAUUUUGAGAUUUCACACAGAUGACUUGUUGGUUGCUGACACGCCUUACAGGAUGGGGCUUAUUAAAAUGGCUAUGCGUUGUUUAGAUGAGAUGAGAUGAGAUGAGAGUUGUUAUAAGUGGACAUAAACAUAUUAGGAUUCCUGAUGUUAAUGUUCCUGAUGUUAGCCAUGUUGAGAAUAAUGCCCGUUUAAUGUUUUUUUUUUAAAUGUUAUUGACUGGAAAGGCAGUAUUUAAAACAUCUUUAUGUUCUCUCAUCCUUUUUUACCCAAAAUGGAGUUUAGUUUAGGGAAAACCUGUAAAAUUUCAAACAAAAUAAAAUCAUAAUAGUUGUGUGUUAAAGAGAA